CCUACGGGAGGCUGCAGUGGGGAAUAUUGGACAAUGGGGGCAACCCUGAUCCAGCCAUGCCGCGUGUGUGAAGAAGGCCCUCGGGUUGUAAAGCACUUUCAGUGAGGAAGAACGCCUGGUGGUUAAUACCCAUCAGGAAAGACAUCACUCACAGAAGAAGCACCGGCUAACUCCGUGCCAGCAGCCGCGGUAAUACGGAGGGUGCGAGCGUUAAUCGGAAUUACUGGGCGUAAAGCGCGCGUAGGUGGCUUGAUAAGCCGGUUGUGAAAGCCCCGGGCUCAACCUGGGAACGGCAUCCGGAACUGUCAAGCUAGAGUGCAGGAGAGGAAGGUAGAAUUCCCGGUGUAGCGGUGAAAUGCGUAGAGAUCGGGAGGAAUACAAGUGGCGAAGGCGGCCUUCUGGACUGACACUGACACUGAGGUGCGAAAGCGUGGGUAGCAAACAGGAUUAGAUACCCCAGUAGUC
rnacentral:rRNA from 1 species